UAUAUUUAUAGUUUUUUUUUCUUCUCAUUUUUUUGGGUGUGUGUGUGUGUGUGAAGUUUAAUCGAAAUGUGUGAAGGUCAGGCUGGAACUACAUUUAAACAAGAGAGAUGUCUGUUCACAUAUUUUUUAAUUUUGUUU
rnacentral:ribozyme from 1 species